GAGGUAACAGCUUAUUAAGCUGCCUCUUUAGUCUAAGUGGUCACCUGUGGUUUAAGCUAACCGUUUUGCCUUUACACAGGAAAGGACUAGGAGCAUUCAUGUGGUCAUUUACUGCUGAGAGACAUUUUCAGAAGGCAGUACUCUACUGAGGAGAUGUGUAAGUUUGUGAGUUCUUCUACUUUCUUUCAUUACUAAGUCAAGUGGGAUAAUUUAAACCUAUUGAAAUAAAAUUUUUGAACCUUAUAGGAUGACUUUGCUUUCCCUAAGUGAAACUGGAAAAAUCAACAUCUUUUCAUGACAUGAUCAAAAUGGCUAUUUCCAACAGAAAAAACAUCCCAUCAGCUGAUGAUGGACAAAAUCUAGUGGACCCAAAACCGCGAGGUGUUGAACAUUUUUGAUGAGGAAUCAGGUACCUUCAACAGUAGGUGACUGAGAAGUGUACUCCGAAGCAGCUGAAACAAUAUUUGGUGAGGAUUUCAUAGACUUUAUUGUGACACCUAAAUAUCAUACCCU
rnacentral:lncRNA from 1 species